CCGAAGAUCCGGCCAGCGGGCGUGUGAUAGCCGAGGCAGCAAGCGUGUGUCGGAUUUACGGGGGUGACAGGGUGCGCAGGCGGACUGGUGAGUCUGGGGUGAAAUCUCGCCGCUUAACGGCGAAACUGCCUUAGAUACUAUCAGUCUUGGAUAAGCGAGAGGUUCGUGGAAUUCCGAGUGUAGCAGUGAAAUGUGUAGAUAUUCGGAAGAACACCAGUGGCGAAGGCAGCGAACUGGCGCUUUAUCGACGCUCAUGCACGAAAGCAUGGGGAUCAAACAGGAUUAGAUACCCCAGUAGUC
rnacentral:rRNA from 1 species